ensembl:lncRNA
GCAAAAGAGCAACAAAGUAAAUAAAAACAAUAUGGGGAUGAUGUAGGUAGAUUGGGUGGGCAAUUUACAGAUGGACUAUGUACAGCAGCAGCGAUCGGUUAGCUGCUCAGAUAGCUGAUGCUUAAAUUUAGUGAGGGAAAUGUAAGUCUCCAGCUUCAGCGAUUUUUGCAAGUCGUUCCAGUCACUGGCAGCAGAGAACUGGAAGGAAAGGCAGCCAAAGGAAGUGUCGGCUUUGGGGACAACCAGUGAGAUAUACCUGCUGGAGCGCUUCCUACGGGUGGGUGUUGUUAUCGUGACCAGUGAACUGAGAUAAGGCGGAGCUUUACCUAGCAUAGACUUAUAGAUGACCUGGAGCCAGUGGGUUUGGCGACGAAUAUGUAGCGAGGGCUAGCCGACGAGAGCAUACAGGUCGCAGUGGUGGGUGGUAUAUGGGGCUUUGGUGACAAAACGGAUGGCACUGUAAUAGACUGCAUCCAGUUUGCUGAGUAGAGUAUUGGUAGCUAUUUUGUAAAUGACAUCGCCGAAGUCGAGGAUCGUUCGGAAAGUCAGUUUUACGAGGAUCUGUGACAAAUACAUUUUGAUUUGAUUUGACUGUUAAUGUGAUACAAUUUCUCAGCCUAGAUGUUGCUGUUUGGCUAGUGGUCAGUUAGUGGCCCUAUUUUGGUGGUUUGGUUGGAGUACUGAUGUUUUAUGGGCAUCAUUGUAAUACAGUUAGAAGAUGAUGACUGAAGAAGAGACUACUUUCCUGUGAUGUCAUCAUGACAGCUGUCAAAGAAGACUCACAUGAGAGGAUCAUGUCCAGACAAGACCAAGAGGAAAAACUCACUAUUACAGACUGGUACAGUAUGUGUGUGACUCUCCAGCAGCAGGAGCUGAGGCUGUCUGAGGGCUCUUACAGGCCUCCAGGCCAAGCCCAGUCCUUCCUGGCCCAGCAGAGGCAGUCCACCCAGGCCAGGAGCAGGAGAGGCAUGGGGCUCUCUCCCAAGCUACAGCCCAGAUAGGAGGGGAGAUGGAGGGAGAGGUCCCUCUGUUGAGGGUGGUGGGAUUGACACUGGAUGGACAAGGAACGUUGGAAGAGGAUGUUGAUGGGAUUUUUGUGGCUGUUUAAAAAAAUCUUGGAUGUUAAAAAACAUAUUUUAUGUAACAUUGGCGCCACCUGCUGGUCAAAUGGUAUUGGUGUUCGUUUUUUGUCCAUCUCAGUUUGAAUCUAAAAGUUAAAGGAAUAGAUAGGACAAUAAAGGAACAUCACUAUUACAAUGUGUUGCCAAUGGAUUUUUGCGCUUGAAUAAAAUAUCAACAUGACUUACAGUAUAGCGCUCAUUUUCUCC